GGAAGUAAAAGUCGUAACAAGGUCUCCGUAGGUGAACCUGCGGAGGGAUCAUUACCGNUUCUUGGUCAUUUAGAGGAAGUAAAAGUCGUAACAAGGUCUCCGUAGGUGAACCUGCGGAGGGAUCAUUACUGAAUGGCCCUUUGGGCCUUCAACCUUCAAAAACAUGUGGAAGCAAGAUGUGCUUCGGUGCCUCUGGUGCCGCCUUUAUGCAGUGAAGCCUUAUUUGUCUGAACCAAAAUCAAAAAGUUAAAACUUUCAACAAAGGAUCUCUUGGCUCUCACAUCGAUGAAGAACGCAGCGAAGCGCGAAAUGUAGUGUGAAUCGCAGAACUUAGUGAAUCAUCGAAUCUUUGAACGCACAUUGCGCCUCCCAUCAUCGGGAGGCAUGCCUGUCUGAGCGUCAUUUAAACCAUAGCUCCCAUCUGGGACUGUACUGGGCAUCGCCGACGGCGUAGCCUCAAAGACAUUGGUCUAAUCAAGCGGNCGAGUUCCUUUAGGACGGACCGUUGGGUUGACCUUAAACCUCUGACUGACCUCAG
rnacentral:misc_RNA from 1 species